UAAACACGAGUUCUCGUACGAUCACCGAAGUUAAGCAACGUUAAACCUGGACAGUAUCUAGAUGGAUGACCACUUGGGAAUACCACGUGUUGUAAG